GAAGAGUUAGCAGAGGACUAUGAAGUAGUCACUGCAGGGUCUAUCACUGUUGUCAUGAAAGGAUAUCUUUUUUCCUGCAGGGUGUUUUUACAGCAGAGUAGUGACCACCAGUGAAACUUAGUAAAACUUGUGAGAAAUUCUGAGAUACGAGUUUUCAGUAAAUAGACUGAAAAAAUUCUCUGCUUUUUUUCCAGAACAACUAUUAUUUAUGUAAAUGUUUAGCUGGUGCAUCACGUGUUUCAGUCCCCAUGUUUUUCUGUACUGGGGGAGACCACUGGAUGCUGUUUACAUUCACAGGGUUCUGAUCCUGCAGUGUAAUCUGCUGGAGGAGGAGGAGGGUGAGGGCUUAUCAUCUGGUGGGAUAGGAAGACUGAGAUAAGAUGACUAGGCACAGGAGGUCCUGGUGGGAGAGUUUGGGGGUGUAGGGGAAGGAGAAUGGGAUCUGGCAAGGAAUGGAAAGAGAAGGAACAGGGUGAAUGAUUGCUGAACAACCUAUUCUUUUUCAGGAGAGAAAGAGGAAGCAGAGCUGAGUCAGGUGGCCUGUGUGUUUUCAGGAGGCUGUGGAGCAGCAGUGGUAGGAGAAGCAGUGGAAGAGCUUUGGAAUGAUAAGAAAGUGAGCUGGAUUCUGGUUUGCACAUCAUCACUAGAUUGCAGAAUCUUUAUGCAGGGCAGUGGAAGCUGAGAGCUCAUCAGAAGAUAGUGGUUGGUGCCAAGAAUAUACUGUGUUAGAGAUCAUUAUCAGAAUACCACAAAUCCAGAUGGCUCAAAGGGCCUAGUGUAUACCAUAGCUUCAUGACAGCAUAAAAUCUGCCAACAUUACCAAACAACAAAACCCCAGCCAACAACAGAAACUCACCUAGCCCAACCAUCCUUUUCAGUUUUUGUCGUCAACCUUAGUAGUUACACAUAACAUUGUAUCAAUUUUCUCUAGGAUAAGAUCAGUCCCAAAAGACUAUACAUUCAAGGAUCAAAGAACAAGGCAUAGUGGGAGACCCAAAGAAGAUCUAUAAGCACUCUUUACAGGACCCCACUUUAAAUUAAGGCGUUCAAAUGACAAAGCAGCCAGUCCUGCAACCCCUCUACACAUGUAACUCCUAGUGAAUUCAUUGAGAGUUCUGAGCAGGAGUUUUGCCAUGUGAGAAGACUGCAGGAUCAAGUUUUGUAUUCUAUCAUACACACUUUUUACAGUGCCCAGGAGCAUGUGAGGCACUCAAGUGUAAAAUAAUUGAUUUUUUCCCCAACUCGUAACAAGAAAUUCCAGGAUGUGCAUUACUGGAAAUGCAACUUUGAACUCCCACUUUUGGUAUCAACCAGAAACACUUUGGCUGCAUUUUGGAGGAAAGUCUCCCAGAUACUGCUUGAUGAUACUAUAAAAUAUGGUUGAUGGAAAGCCAAACAGCCAAAGAACAACCUUCACAUUUCUGAACAACAUAGCUUCCAGUUUUGGAUAAUAAGGCAAAAGGAUAUUUCUGAAAUUGCCUCCAAGCCAGACAAGUAUAAAUAUUUUCUGUAAUAUGACCUUCAGUGCACUGAUGUAGGACUAAUGGGAGCAUGUGAGGAGAGAAGUGCCUUCUGGUUUGGUCAUUCUUAUUACAUACUUUGAGAAAGAAACGUUGACCCUUACUCUUAAUCACUGAUAAUUCUUAAAUUAAUGCAUU